UUAUCUGGUAAAGCGAAUGAUUAGAGGCAUUAGGGUCAAAACAAUCUUAACCUAUUCUCAAACUUUAAAUGGGUAAAAACCUUAUCUUUCUUGAUAUGAAGAUAUAGGUUAUGAUAUAUUGUGCCCAGUGGGCCACUUUUGGUAAGCAGAACUGGCGCUGUGGGAUAAACCAAACGUAAUGUUAAGGCGCCUAAAUUAACAACUCAUACUGAUACCAUGAAAGGCGUUGCUUGCUUAAAACAGUAGGGCGGUGGACACGGAAGUUGUAAUCCGCUAAGGAGUGUGUAACAACCCACCUGCCGAAGCAACUAGCCCUUAAAAUGGAUGGCGCUCAAGUUGUAUGCCUAUACAUUACCGCUAAAAUAUAUGAUUUAUAAUUUUUAUAUUAUGAAUUUUGAAAAAGGGUAGAAGUGUUUGGCGUAAGCCUGCAUGGACCGCCCAUUGGCACAGAUCUUGGUGGUAGUAGCAAAUAAUCGAAUGAGACCUUGGAGGACUGAAGUGGAGAAGGGUUUCGUGUGAACAGUGGUUGAUCACGAGUUAGUCGGUCCUAAGUUCAAGGCGAAAGCCGAAAAAUGUUAAAGUAUAUUAAAAAAAUAUAAUACUUUAUAUUAUUAAUGAACGAAAGGGAAUACGGUUCCAAUUCCGUAACCUGUUGAGUAUACGUUUGUAAUUAAAAAUGGGCUUUAAUGCUCAUCCUGGUAACAGUAACAACCAUAAAGAAGCCGUCGAGAGAUAUCGAAAGAGUUUUCUUUUCUGUUUUAUAGUUGUAUUACCAUGGAAGUCUUUCGAAGAGAGAUAUGGUAAAUGGACUAGAAGAGCAUGGCAUUUACUGCUGUGUCGAUAUUUUCUCCUCGGACCUUGAAAAUUUAUGGUAGGGUCACGCAAAUUUCUUAACAGGCCGUACCGAUAUCCGCAGCUGGUCUCCAAGGUGAAGAGUCUCUAGUCGAUAGAAUAAUGUGGUAAGGGAAGUCUGCAAAUUAGAUCCGUAACUUCGGGAUAAGGAUUGGCUCUGAAGAUUGAGAUAGUCGGGCUUGAUUGGGAAGCAAUAAUAUGGUUUAUGUACUCGUUCUGGGUAAAUUAGAAUGAAAUUUAUGUUUUAUAUAAAGAUGUAAAUGGAAUUUGUUCCCCGGAUAGUAGUUUACGUAACCAAUUGCGGAACUUUCUUGCUAGUAAUAUAUUAGAAAAAAAAAAUGUAAAUUUUUUAUUUUUAUAUAUUUAUAACGGCUAUCAAUUAACAAUCAAUUCAGAACUGGCACGGACUUGGGGAAUCCGACUGUCUAAUUAAAACAAAGCAUUGUGAUGGCCCUAACGGGUGUUGACACAAUGUGAUUUCUGCCCAGUGCUCUGAAUGUCAAAGUGAAGAAAUUCAAGUAAGCGCGGGUAAACGGCGGGAGUAACUAUGACUCUCUUAAGGUAGCCAAAUGCCUCGUCAUCUAAUUAGUGACGCGCAUGAAUGGAUUA
rnacentral:rRNA from 1 species